UGCCAGCCGCCGCGGUAAUACGGAGGGGGUUAGCGUUGUUCGGAAUUACUGGGCGUAAAGCGCACGUAGGCGGAUUAGAAAGUUGGGGGUGAAAUCCCAGGGCUCAACCCUGGAACUGCCUCCAAAACUAUCAGUCUAGAGUUCGAGAGAGGUGAGUGGAACUCCGAGUGUAGAGGUGAAAUUCGUAGAUAUUCGGAAGAACACCAGUGGCGAAGGCGGCUCACUGGACCAUAUCUGACGCUGAGGUGCGAAAGCUAGGGUAGCGAACGGGAUUAGAUA
rnacentral:rRNA from 1 species